GAAAAUGUAUCCGUUGCGAUAUACAUAAAAGCGUAUAUCUGAGGCAAUUUUCCACGGAUCCUCUUCUCUCAAAGAUUUUUACAACUAGAGAAGUUCACGACAUUCUUAAAAACAUGAUCCCGGAAAGCGCUUGAAUCGGAGUGGAACAAUCGUUGAAGAAUGUGGAGAAAUCAUCAUUGACAGAUUGAAGACAAGUGUGAAUCUUCGAGUUGAACGUACGGCUUAAGAAGUAGCAACAUAAAACAGAUAAGUUCUUUUACUUCUUUUAUGUCUUUAUGUUUUUGUUUUUUAGUUUUAUCAAACUCCAAAAAUAUCAUAGGCAGACACUUAUCUAAUAGUGUUCUGCCAGAUUCUUAUUUUUGGGAACAUUGUCCCGAGUCCCUGUUGCAGUGAAAGCUUAGUCCUAAAGGAAAUUUAAUUAAAUCCAUCUCCCUAGAAACUGUUGGUUGGUAGUGCAUGAAUGUCUUAAGAGAUGUUUGGGGAUGGAAAUUAAAACACAACUUAGUACCCACGGCUUUAACAAAACAACCAUCGGCUUAAAAUAACACACACCUUAGUAGUACCCACGGCUUUACAAAACACAACCACCGUUGGCUUAAGAAAAAAAAAGACUUCUUUAGACAGAAAACAGCUAUUUCUAUAGCUAUGAAACUUGAUGGAUGGAUAAACGACCAUCAGCUUAUAAAAUAGUCUUAAGACAAAGGCUACGAGAGUUGGUUUUGUACUUGAUGGAUUGAAAAAUAACACACACCUUAGUAGUACCCACGGCUUUGCAAAACACAACCAUCGGCUUAAGAAAAAAAAAGAGUUCUUUAGACAUAAAACAGCUAUUUCUAUAGCUAUGAAACUUGAUGGAUGGAUAAACGACCAUCAGCUUACAAAAUAGUCUAAAGACAAAGGCUAUGAGUUGGUUUUGUACUUUUUGGGUGGAAAAUAACGACCACAAGUCAUGAAAACUAAGUGUCCCGAGUCCCAUUGCGUGAACUUGUUGGAUGGAAAAUAACGACCACAAUUCAUGAAAAGUAAUGUCCCGAGUUCCGUUGGUAUUGUACGGUUUGAGAGAAGUAUUCUCCUAACCACAGCUCUAUGAGCAAAGGAUACUUGAGGAUGCGAAGUGUGAGAAAAUUUAGUACCAACGGCUUAUUAAAAGACAGAGUUUGUGAAUGAAAAUGUCUUCAUCAGUUAGUACCUACGGCUUAUGAACAAGCUUUUAGACAGAGUUUGUAAAACUACCAACGGCUUAAAGACAAACUUUUAGACAGAGAAUGUGAUUGUAAGAAAGUCUUUAGACAGAGACUAUUCAUCACAUUAGUACCCACGGCUUGCAAGUGAUUGAAUCUGUUUUUAAUACAUUAUCAAAUUUGUACCCACGGCUUGCAAAAAAAGUCUUCAGGCAAAGACUGUUUUUGAAUACAUCAUCAGAUUUCUACCCACGACUUUGAAAAAAAGUUAUAGACAAAGGCUAUGAGAUCGUCAUAAUGGCUUUAAAGAAUUAUCAACCGUUUCUUUCUUUUUUUUACUACAAGUUAUCAAUUUUCUCUAUCUCUGAACUUUGUUUUUUUCUUUCCAGGUGAAACCGAGUCAUGUUCUUUUAGCUGUCAGACUCUUAAAACUUCAGUUAUCAAAGUGGUAAGUCAGGGGAUAUCGAUCUUUAGGAGUAUCAAGAUGCUGAAGGUUACAACAAGAACGACACAGAUGAAGUCGAGAAUCCUGGUAGUGAAGAUGCAGAUCAACAGAAGGGUGCAGCCGAGAAAGCUCCUGCUGCAGCAGAUAAUGGAGCAGCAGGCCUUAGGAAACACGAAGAAACUGUAGACAAAGAUAGUUCUGAAUUCCCUGAAAUGAGUACAAAAGAAGCUGGUUCGAUAUACCAUUGAAUCAGCAGAACAAAAAAAAAGAAAGAAAUACAGUUCGCGAGAACAAGUAAGACUUAAUAUCAAGAAACUCAGAGCCAUUACUGAGGUAAAUCCAAUCCAAAACAUUAGCUGUAGGGAUAUAUUCCUCUUAUUUUACCACUUCCCGGAUACAAAUUCACAAGGUAACUAUGAAGCCUUUUGCAUCAACUAAAGAAUAAACACUAACUUCAAAAUGAUUUCAAAUGUCUCAGAUUUCCUUGACAGGUAUUUGCUUUUAAAUAUGGUUAUGAAAAUCACUUGUAGGAGAAACAUACAUGAAGUGAACUAGUUACGUACAUUUGUUUAGGUAUGGGCUUCACAAACUGUUCAUAUCCCUCAUUGACGCUUGUACAGGUCAAGAAAUUAGAAAGCUCCAUUUUAAGAUUAUAUAUGUUUUAUUAGGCUAUCUUGACAACGUUUCUCUCACUGAUCUAGCAUCCAUGAGAUUCUAUACACUGACUGCUAACAAAUCUACUGAUGCGCAAGUAGAUUCUUUUUUAAUAUUGGAACAUUACAUUGUGUUUCAGUGUUUAAUCUCUAUUCUUAAUUUGGUGCUUGUACGUAUGAGAAGGUCUUUUAUUUUUAUAAAAGUUGAUGUAUCAUAAA